AUUGAACGCUGGCGGCAUGCCUAACACAUGCAAGUCGAACGGCAGCAGGGGGUUUGGUCGCGCACGGAGUGGCGAACGGGUGGGUAAUGCCUCGGAAUGUGCCAGGUAGUGGGGGAUAGCGUGCCGAAACCGGGACUAAUACCGCAUACGACCAGAGGGAGAAAGUGGGGGAGCCACAGACCUCGCGCUAUCGGAGGAGCCUAAGUCGGAUUAGCUAGUUGGUGGGGUAAAGGCUUACCAAGGCGACGAUCCGUAACUGGUCUGAGAGGACGACCAGCUACCCUGGCACUGAGGCACGGCCCAGACUCCUAGGGUGGGCAGCAGUGGGGACUUCUGCACGAUGGGGCAAUGCCUGAUCCAGCCAUGCCGCGUGCGGGAUGAAGGACUUCUGCUUCUAGAGCGCUUUAGGUCGGGAGGUUGUCCAGUGCGUUUAUACCCGGUGGUGAUGACGGUACCGGGAGAAUAAGCACCGGCUAACUCCGUG
rnacentral:rRNA from 1 species